rnacentral:rRNA from 1 species
ACGAACGCUGGCGGCGUGCCUAAUACAUGCAAGUCGAACGCUUCUUUUUCCACCGGAGCUUGCUCCACCGGAAAAAGAGGAGUGGCGAACGGGUGAGUAACACGUGGGUAACCUGCCCAUCAGAAGGGGAUAACACUUGGAAACAGGUGCUAAUACCGUAUAACAAUCGAAACCGCAUGGUUUUGAUUUGAAAGGCGCUUUCGGGUGUCGCUGAUGGAUGGACCCGCGGUGCAUUAGCUAGUUGGUGAGGUAACGGCUCACCAAGGCGACGAUGCAUAGCCGACCUGAGAGGGUGAUCGGCCACAUUGGGACUGAGACACGGCCCAAACUCCUACGGGAGGCAGCAGUAGGGAAUCUUCGGCAAUGGACGAAAGUCUGACCGAGCAACGCCGCGUGAGUGAAGAAGGUUUUCGGAUCGUAAAACUCUGUUGUUAGAGAAGAACAAGGAUGAGAGUAACUGUUCAUCCCUUGACGGUAUCUAACCAGAAAGCCACGGCUAACUACGUGCCAGCAGCCGCGGUAAUACGUAGGUGGCAAGCGUUGUCCGGAUUUAUUGGGCGUAAAGCGAGCGCAGGCGGUUUCUUAAGUCUGAUGUGAAAGCCCCCGGCUCAACCGGGGAGGGUCAUUGGAAACUGGGAGACUUGAGUGCAGAAGAGGAGAGUGGAAUUCCAUGUGUAGCGGUGAAAUGCGUAGAUAUAUGGAGGAACACCAGUGGCGAAGGCGGCUCUCUGGUCUGUAACUGACGCUGAGGCUCGAAAGCGUGGGGAGCAAACAGGAUUAGAUACCCUGGUAGUCCACACUGUAAACGAUGGAUACUAGGUGUAGGCAUGAAUGUGUCUGUGCCGUCGCAAACGCAGUAAGUAUCCCACCUGGGGAGUACGGCCGCAAGGUUGAAACUCAAAGGAAUUGACGGGGGCCCGCACAAGCGGUGGAGCAUGUGGUUUAAUUCGAAGCAACGCGAAGAACCUUACCAGGUCUUGACAUCCUUUGACCACUCUAGAGAUAGAGCUUCCCCUUCGGGGGCAAAGUGACAGGUGGUGCAUGGUUGUCGUCAGCUCGUGUCGUGAGAUGUUGGGUUAAGUCCCGCAACGAGCGCAACCCUUAUUGUUAGUUGCCAUCAUUUAGUUGGGCACUCUAGCAAGACUGCCGGUGACAAACCGGAGGAAGGUGGGGAUGACGUCAAAUCAUCAUGCCCCUUAUGACCUGGGCUACACACGUGCUACAAUGGGAAGUACAACGAGUCGCAAAGUCGCGAGGCUAAGCUAAUCUCUUAAAGCUUCUCUCAGUUCGGAUUGUAGGCUGCAACUCGCCUACAUGAAGCCGGAAUCGCUAGUAAUCGCGGAUCAGCACGCCGCGGUGAAUACGUUCCCGGGCCUUGUACACACCGCCCGUCACACCACGAGAGUUUGUAACACCCGAAGUCGGUGAGGUAACCUUUUGGAGCCAGCCGCCUAAGGUGGGAUAGAUGAUUGGGGUG